UACGGGAGGGGCUAGCGUUGUUCGGAAUUAGCUAGGGCGUAAAGGCUCGUAGGUGGCCAACUAAGUCAGACGUGAAAUCCCCUCGGCUUAACCGGGGAACUGCGUCUGAUACUGGAUGGGCUUGAGAUUGGGAGAGGGAUGCGGAAUUCCAGGUGUAGCGGUAGAAAUGCGUAGAUAUCUGGAGGAACACCGGUGGCGAAGGCGGCAUCCUGGACCACACUGACACUGAGGAGCGAAAGCCAAGGGGAGCGAA
rnacentral:rRNA from 1 species